rnacentral:tRNA from 1 species
GGGUAUUGAAGUAAAAAAAUUACAUUUAGUUUCGACCUAGACUUAGAAAUAAUUUUCCUUACCUA